rnacentral:rRNA from 1 species
UACGUAGGGGGCAAGCGUUGUCCGGAUUCAUUGGGCGUAAAGAGCUCGUAGGCGGCUUGGCAAGUCGGGUGUGAAAACUCCAGGCUCAACCUGGAGACGCCACCCGAUACUGCCAUGGCUAGAGUCCGGUAGGGGACCACGGAAUUCCUGGUGUAGCGGUGAAAUGCGCAGAUAUCAGGAGGAACACCGGUGGCGAAGGCGGUGGUCUGGGCCGGAACUGACGCUGAGGAGCGAAAGCAUGGGGAGCGAACAGG